rnacentral:rRNA from 1 species
AACGCGAAGAACCUUACCUGGCCUUGACAUGCACGGAAUUUAGCAGAGAUGCCUUAGUGCCUUCGGGAACCGUGAGACAGGUGCUGCAUGGCUGUCGUCAGCUCGUGUUGUGAAAUGUUGGGUUAAGUCCCGCAACGAGCGCAACCCUUAUCCUUUGUUGCCAGCACGUAAAGGUGGGAACUCAAAGGAGACUGCCGGUGAUAAACCGGAGGAAGGUGGGGAUGACGUCAAGUCAUCAUGGCCCUUACGGCCAGGGCUACACACGUGCUACAAUGGCGCAUACAAAGAGAAGCGACCUCGCGAGAGCAAGCGGACCUCAUAAAGUGCGUCGUAGUUCGGAUCGGAGUCUGCAACUCGACUCCGUGAAGUCGGAAUCGCUAGUAAUCGUAGAUCAGAAUGC